GUAGGUAGCUGGGCGACUACCGUAAGGAGGAAAUUCUCCCCAUCGAUGCUAAAAGGGGCUAAUAAACCCUGCUCGGGCGUCAGAAAAAAAACCUAUGCAUACUCAAUGAUAAUGAUGCCAAAAGCUGAUGAGAUAUGCAUAGGAUGAAAUUGCCCGAGCGGCAAAUGAGAUGCAAGCCUUUAAGGCGCUUAGAAGAAUGCCGCCUUAAAAACAGAAGGGAGAUUACAGCUACCUAC
rnacentral:RNase_P_RNA from 1 species